GACGAACGCUGGCGGCGUGCUUAACACAUGCAAGUCGAACGGCAAGGCACUGCUUUUGUGGGGUGCUCGAGUGGCGAACGGGUGAGUAACACGUGAGUAACCUGCCCUUGACUUUGGGAUAACUUCAGGAAACUGGGGCUAAUCCCGUAUAGGAGCUCCUGUUGCAUGGAGGGGGUUGGAAAGUUUCGGCGGGUGGGGUUGGACUCGCGGCUUAUGAGCUUGUUGGUGGGGGAGUGGCUUACCAAGGCUGUGACGGGUCGCCGGCCUGAGAGGGUGGCCGGCCACAUUGGGACUACGGUACGGCCCAGAGUCCUACGGUGGGCAACGGUGGGGAAUAUUGCCCAACCGGCGCGAGCCUGAGGCAGCGACGCCGCGGGCGUGAAGACGUCCUGCUGGGUGUGAACCGCUUUCGCCUGAGACGAAGCGGGUGUGACGGUAAUGAGAAAAGAAGCACCGGCUAACUUCGUG
rnacentral:rRNA from 1 species